CWGGCGGCAKCUAUMAUGCAGUCGAGCGCGGGAGCAAGCAGAUCUCCUUCGGGGGUGACGCUUGUGGAACGAGCGGCGGACGGGUGAGUAACACGUGGGCAACCUACCUGUAAGACUGGGAUAACUCCGGGAAACCGGGGCUAAUACCGGAUGAUACAUAUCGUCGCAUGACGAGAUGUUGAAAGGCGGCAUAUGCUGUCACUUACAGAUGGGCCCGCGGCGCAUUAGCUAGUUGGUGAGAUAAAAGCUCACCAAGGCGACGAUGCGUAGCCGACCUGAGAGGGUGAUCGGCCACACUGGGACUGAGACACGGCCCAGACUCCUACGGGAGGCAGCAGUAGGGAAUCUUCCGCAAUGGACGAAAGUCUGACGGAGCAACGCCGCGUGAGUGAUGAAGGUUUUCGGAUCGUAAAACUCUGUUGUUAGGGAAGAACAAGUGCCAUUCGAAUAGGUUGGCACCUUGACGGUACCUAACCAGAAAGCCCCGGCUAACUACGUGCCAGCAGCCGCGGUAAUACGUAGGGGGCAAGCGUUGUCCGGAAUUAUUGGGCGUAAAGCGCGCGCAGGCGGUCCUUUAAGUCUGAUGUGAAAGCCCACGGCUUAACCGUGGAGGGCCAUUGGAAACUGGGGGACUUGAGUACAGAAGAGGAGAGUGGAAUUCCACGUGUAGCGGUGAAAUGCGUAGAGAUGUGGAGGAACACCAGUGGCGAACGCGACUCUCUGGUCUGUAACUGACGCUGAGUGCGAAAGCGUGGGUAGCGAACACGAUUAGAUACCCUGGUAGUCCACGCCGUAAACGAUGAGUGCUACGUGUUAGGGGUUUCCGCCCCCUUWGUGCUGAAGUUYAACGCAUUAARCACUCCGCSCUGGGKGAGUACGCMCGCAAGGCUGCAACUCSAAAGAACUUGAMCGGGSGAACCCGCWCAGCAGGUGGGAGUCAUGUGGUUUYAAUUUCGAAAGCACGCGCAGAACUUUACCUAGUCUGGACAAUCCUCGUACGCCYCCURAAGAAWAGACAGUCCUCGAGAACGAGUUGAMAGUCGCGU
rnacentral:rRNA from 1 species